rnacentral:rRNA from 1 species
UACAGAGGGUGCAAGCGUUGUUCGGAAUUAUUGGGCGUAAAGGGCGCGUAGGCGGUGCGGUAAGUCACCUGUGAAACCUCUGAGCUUAACUCAGAGCCUGCAGGCGAAACUGCCGUGCUUGAGUGUGGGAGAGGUGCGUGGAAUUCCCGGUGUAGCAGUGAAAUGCGUAGAGAUCGUGAGGAAGACCAGUGGCGAAGGCGGGUCUCUGGACAGUUCCUGACACUGAGGCACGAAGGCCAGGGGAGCAAACGGG